AACGAACGCUGGCGGCAGGCCUAACACAUGCAAGUCGAACGCCCCGCAAGGGGAGUGGCAGACGGGUGAGUAACACGUGGGAACGUACCCUUUGGUUCGGAACAACUCCGGGAAACUGGAGCUAAUACCGAAUAAGCCCUACGGGGGAAAGAUUUAUCGCCGAAGGAUCGGCCCGCGUCGGAUUAGCUAGUUGGCGGGGUAAAAGCCUACCAAGGCGACGAUCCGUAGCUGGUCUGAGAGGAUGAUCAGCCACACUGGGACUGAGACACGGCCCAGACUCCUACGGGAGGCGGCAGUGGGGAAUAUUGGACAAUGGGCGCAAGCCUGAUCCAGCCAUGCCGCGUGAGUGAUGAAGGCCUUAGGGUUGUAAAGCUCUUUCGCCAGGGACGAUAAUGACGGUACCUGGAUAAGAAGCCCCGGCUAACUUCGUGCCAGCCGCCGCAGUAAUAC
rnacentral:rRNA from 1 species